GUGGGGAAUAUUGGGCAAUGGGCGAAAGCCUGACCCAGCAACGCCGCGUGAGGGAAGAAGGUUUUCGGAUUGUAAACCUCUGUCCUUGGUGACGAACACAAUGACGGUAGCCAAGGAGGAAGCCCCGGCUAACUACGUGCCAGCAGCCGCGGUAAUACGUAGGGGGCAAGCGUUGUCCGGAAUGACUGGGCGUAAAGGGCGUGUAGGCGGCCGAUUAAGUCUGGAGUGAAAGUCCUGCUUUCAAGGUGGGAAUUGCUUUGGAGACUGGUUGGCUUGAGUGCGGAAGAGGCAAGUGGAAUUCCCAGUGUAGCGGUGAAAUGCGUAGAGAUUGGGAGGAACACCAGUGGCGAAGGCGACUUGCUGGGCCGUAACUGACGCUGAGACGCGAAAGCGUGGGGAGCGAACAGGAUUAGAAACCCUGGUAGUCC
rnacentral:rRNA from 1 species